GAAAUGGCUCUCUGCUGUUUUCAACAUAUUCAGCAACUCAGGCAGGCUAAUGUUUAGUUUGUUCAUAUGAUAAUUUAUAACAAACUGAAAAAAAGUUAAGGAGAGACUGCAUGAUCAAAUCCCGACUUAGUUCACCAUCCAUGGCAAAACUCAAUUAUCCCAAAUGAGUGAUCAAAUCAAUCAUCUUUAGGACAUGUGUUUGCACGG
rnacentral:lncRNA from 1 species